AAUCGAAUCGAGCGGUCAGGUGCCCCAAGAGGGGCUUAAGAGGGAAUCCCGUGGAAAUCGGGAGCGGUCCCGCCGCUGUGAACGGGGACGAAAUCCGCGUGCAAGCCACUGCACCGCCGACGGCGGAGCGGGAAGGUGCGGAGAGUAGGUGGAUCCGUGAGCCAGAAGACCUGCCUGACCGGCCGGAAACGG
rnacentral:ncRNA from 2 species